rnacentral:tRNA from 1 species
GCCAGCAUGGUGUAGUGGUUUGAUCAUUGGACUAUGAUCCUGGAGACCAGGGUUCAAAUCCCUGCUUGGUCA